GAAGGAUCUUAACGAGCUUCAGAAAACGGUAAGCCCCUGAGACAGUUACGGAGAACCAGUGGACUCCCGCAAAUUACCAAACUGCCCUUACUACGCUUUUAACAGUUACGGUUCAAUUUUUAGAGGUUUUUUUUUCUUUAAUUUACCAACCGAAAAUAUAGGCAACGCACAUGUCCGCUUGAGUUUCGUUUUCGUAGUAAUUUUUAAGAACGAGGGCAUCUUAUUUGGGCCUUAAUUAUCGCUGUUUUAACCAUUUAUAAAGUCCGUUAUCGUUUAUGGGCCUUGCCCUCUUUUAUUCACAAGUAUUAGAAAAAGGGUCACUUCUGCCUCCCCAGAUGUUUGUAGAGUAUUGAUCCGUUGAAAUCAACCAUCUUUUUUCCCAGGAUAUUUUUGGGCUCAACCAUCAAAUUUUAUUUACCAAUCCGUAGAUACAAAAUUUCAACCUUAUAAAUUUUUUAACUCCACCUACAAUACCAAAAUCUAGUAGCACCUAAAAAAAGAUCUUACACUACAUAAGCUUAAACAACAUUUAUAAAAUGUAUACAAGGUUUUGUAAAAAAAAAACAUAAAUAACAUUGUAUUUUUCACCACUGCGAGAACGAAUUGAUCCUAUGAGUUGGGAUAAACCUCUUAAACAACUUGAUUAACCCCCAAACCAAGAGUACAAAGCUUAUUUAACAUUUUACCAAAGAAAAAAAGCGUGUAACAAUCUACUUCUAGCCACUAGUCAAACUUUGUCAGAAAAAAAAAACCCCUCAGGCAAACCUAACUUAAGAAUUCUAAUCAUAGCCCAAAACGCUUGGAACCCAAGGAUCGGAAUAGAGAUCUUAUCCAACCAGAAGGUGCUUCUUCUCAGUUAGGAGAUUCCAUGUGAUGAUAAGUAUAUAUUAGCAUUUGACUCUUGCAUAAGAAGGUUGAGAAGACCUUACCGGAUGCACUAUGACGAGAGUCUCCGGCACCCGCUACACCUUCCCAGGUCAAGCCUUUUACUCUGGAUCUUUUGACCUGCUAGUCUGCUACAUGUAUUUUAUAUCAAUAUAAUGUAUAAUGUAUUCGGUUAGGGAGGCGAUACAAAAUUUUGAAAAUAAUAUAACUAGAGUACAUGAUCAAUUUGAUGUUAGAAAAGGAGACUACACAUGAUCAUUUUGACGUUUUGGAAGAUAUGCAUUAUAAAGUUGACAUUUUGUUCC